CCACUCGACGAUGAGGACAUCACCUCAUACAUCCUCGCUGGCCUCGAUGAUGAUUACGAGCCCGUCGUUUCCUCAAUAGUGGGACGGCAGGAGCCGGUAACUUUUUCUGAGUUAUAUUCACAACUUCUGAAUUUUGAAU
rfam:Leersia perrieri chromosome 12, whole genome shotgun sequence.